rnacentral:rRNA from 1 species
UACGUAGGUGGCAAGCGUUGUCCGGAUUUACUGGGCGUAAAGAGCGCGCAGGCGGUCGGUCAAGUCGAGUGUGAAAGCCCCCGGCUCAACUGGGGAGGGUCACUCGAUACUGAUCGACUCGAAGGCAGGAGAGGGAAGCGGAAUUCCCGGUGUAGUGGUGAAAUGCGUAGAUAUCGGGAGGAACACCAGUGGCGAAGGCGGCUUUCUGGCCUGUUCUUGACGCUGAGGCGCGAAAGCUAGGGUAGCAAACGGG